rnacentral:misc_RNA from 1 species
ACAACAACAAAACUGGCUUCAGAUCACGGUGUUCGGCGAUGCAUACUUUUAUUUCGUAAUCGAAAUUUUCUUCGCUCAAAACUUUUCUUUUCAUUUUUUAUACUUGCUUCACUUUCUAUCUCGUUUUUUGGUUUUACCCCCUUUUCAAUCGAUAUUGUUUUCAUCGCUUGUUUUAUUGCAAUCAACGAAAGAAUAAUCAAAACGAAAAAGAGUAGAAAAAAAUUAAGAAAACAACAAGAAUUUUCUCACCAACUAUGCCAAUCGUGCCUCUAUGCCUCUCAUUCUGUCUUUACGAAUUAGUAUGUGGUAUUUUUGCUUUCCUUUCUUUUUAUUUUGCCGUGUCCAUUUUAGGUCUUCUCCUUUCUGUUCUUCGGUCUCUAAGAUGGAGUCCAGCAUGUGCACCAUAGGGUCUUUCUUCUCCAUCGGGUAAUUGAAGUCUCGGAGGAAGAUCAAGAGCAAGAUCCUGCCGUACGCUGCUAGCCCUAACUGCUCUAUCCCUGGUAGCCGCCACGACAUCAUUUUCACCUCCUGUGGUCUGUCCACCCUCAAGGCCA